UUGACAUAAGCGAAGAACAGAAAAUCAAGAUUUGAAUGCUUUGCUUUGUUGCACACAAUGAUCCUCUUAUUAGAAGUAGGAGAUUUUAACCAAAUUUACAUGUUUGAAUCCAAAUGUUAAGGUACCAACUUAAUUGGAUGCGUUACACUGCUUUAGGAGGUACACAUAUGAGUUUUAAUUAUAAAUAAAUAUGCAGUAAUUCUUGUACGGGCGACAAGAUGAUCACUUUAUCUGAGUGUGCUAUAAGUUGAGUAGCAAGGAUGAAGUUAAGAAAUGGAGGAAGUAGUUCCUCCGUCUCAUACUGGUGUUCUAACUCCCCUUGAAGCUUUUUAAGAAAGAUGUUCAUAAUGUCACUCUUUAGUCUUUUCUGGUUUAAACAAUUUUCCCCCAAAUACCCUACCUAAAGGAUCAUAUUUGUCCCCACUUAAGAGCAAAUCUAUAAUCAACUGUAAAUCCAAUUACAAUUUUCUUCGAUCUUUCAAAGUCCUUAACAAAUAUUUAUUCUUCUCAUUGCCUACUCAAAAAUUGUCUUCCGUGUGUAUGUUCUUAAUUUUGAUUUUGAUUUUAAUUUUAAGGGGUUGGUUGAAUUUAUGAUUGAGAAUUUAGGUUAGGGGAUGGAAUUGCAAAAUAAAACUGAUGAAGACAUUAAUUUGAGGAAGAUCAAGUCUUUUAUGAAUUUUCUGUGUUGGGGAAACCUCUCACACUGGAGAACUAUUGGAAAAACACAAUUUAAGGAUUUUUAGUUUUGCGGAACUAAAGAAUGCUACAAAGAAUUUCAAGGCUGAAACACUUCUAGGCAAAGGAGGAUUUGGGAGGGUGUACAAGGGUUGGAUCGAUGAGAAGGCUAAUGUGUAUUCUAAGAGUGGGGUUAAAAUUGCGGUGGCGAUUAAGAAGUUGAACUCUAAGAGUAUGCAGGGUUUUGAAGAAUGGCAGCCUCUUGUGAUUGUAUACAUCAGUCAUUAGGAGUUUUAGAUGCUUCCGUUGGGAAUCAGCAAGCAGCCAAGCAUUGUUGUUGAGGGCAGAGAGUAGCGCGUAAGACAAACCGUUAGGUUGUGUUAAUGCUUCAAUGUUAUAAUCUUAUAUUUUAUUCAAAUCAUUCAAUAAUUGUGUUUUAGAUAACCAUUAUUCAAUUGUAAAAGGUUUAAGAGGUGUAGGACUUCUAUGCCAAAUACUCCGUAGAAAUUAAAGGUAGUGUUGUACUUGUAGUU